GGAGGAUUAGCUCAGCUGGGAGAGCACCUGCCUUACAAGCAGGGGGUCGGCGGUUCGAUCCCGUCAUCCUCCACCAUUC
rnacentral:tRNA from 1 species